CCGCCUGGGGGAGUAGGGUCGCAAGAUUAAAAAUCAAAAUGAAUUGACGGGGGGCCCGCACAAGCGGUGGAGCAUGUGGUUUAAUUCGAUGCAACGCGAAGAACCUUACCUACUCUUGACAUCUACAGAAGCCAGCGGAGACGCAGGUGUGCCUUCGGGAACUGUAAGACAGGUGCUGCAUGGCUGUCGUCAGCUCGUGUUGUGAAAUGUUGGGUUAAGUCCCGCAACGAGCGCAACCCUUAUCCUUGUUUGCCAGCACUUCGGGUGGGAACUCCAGGGAGACUGCCGGUGAUAAACCGGAGGAAGGUGGGGACGACGUCAAGUCAUCAUGGCCCUUACGAGUAGGGCUACACACGUGCUACAAUGGCGCAUACAGAGGGCGGCCAACUUGCGAAAGUGAGCGAAUCCCAAAAAGUGCGUCGUAGUCCGGAUUGGAGUCUGCAACUCGACUCCAUGAAGUCGGAAUCGCUAGUAAUCGUGGAUCAGAAUGCCACGGUGAAUACGUUCCCGGGCCUUGUACACACCGCCCGUCACACCAUGGGAGUGGGCUGCAAAAGAAGUGGGUAGUUUAACCUUCGGGAGGACGCUCACCACUUUGUGGUUCAUGACUGGGGUGAAGUCGUAACAAGGUAACCG
rnacentral:rRNA from 1 species